UUUUAAUAAGCAUAGAAAUUGACUGUCCCAGUCUUAAAACUUGAGAAAGUUACUUUUGUCUUGUCUGAGUUCUUUUCUCAGGAAACCAACCAACAGGCUUUCCAGAUAGUAUCUAGGAACUGAAUUUACCAGAUCACUGUGUCUAGACAAUGAGACAUUAGACCGAGCCCUCACCCUUCACGAUUGCCUAACCGACCACCUGCUACACCCAUCUUCUUUAUCUCUCUCCAAUUCCUGUCUUGCCAUACAUUGCUACAUUUCUUCCUUGCUAUAUAAACUCCUAAUUUUAGUUGGCUGAAGAGAUGGGUUUGAGACUGAUCUCUCAUCUCCUCAUCUGCCCAACUAAAGCCUCUUCUCGGGCAACAUUCAUGGUGUCAGUUAUUGGCUUUCUGGGUGGCGAGCAGCAGGACCUAGACUGAGCCCUUGGUGUUUUGGUAACAUGGCUUUCUUUGUUUCAUCUGUGUAACAAUGAAAGAGUUACACCAGGUGAUUUUAUUAGCCUAUUUUCUCAUCAGGAACAAUACUCUACUUAGACACGGAUAGUGUAGAUUAAGUGAUGCCACCAGAGACUCACGACUGGGAUAACUGGGGGUACCUCAGAAAACCUCGAGGGUCCUGUUGACAAUCACCCAAUCUGAAGUCUGAGAUAAAUGAUCCAUUGUGUGUCAUUGAAGACUUCUAAUGAAGGAACUGACAGGCUGUAGGAAUUACUGAGCUAUUAGAUCAUCUCAGAGAAAGUGUGAUACUCAAUUGGGAGGAGUGAGUAUUUUGACUGUUCCUUUGCUCAGCAUUCUUGAACAGAACACUCUCUACUUCCCAUACCAGAUGGAGGUGUGGCAGCAUAUUGAAGUCAUUGGCAAAGAAGGAAGAGGAAUAUUGUAAAUCAUUCCAAAGUGGAGACACCUUGAGGGAAUCCCUGGGGAAUUAGCCAAGAAUGUGUUGUAGAAGGAAAGGGAACCAUAAUAUUUAUCAGUUGUUCUUAGUCAGAAGAUGAAAAGAAAUGCAGAUAUAUAAAGAUGAAAAGAAAUGUCGGAAAGCCUGAUUUAUAUUAUGAGCAAAACAAAUGUCAUUGUGUCUUUCUAAUAAUUAUGAACCCUAGACAAAAAGUGGAUACGUUUUAAAAUCCCCAUGUUGAAACUGGAAUUACUAUUGCAAUAUACCUCAGUAAUGCAAAGACUGAUUUAAUUUCUCUCACAAAAGAUAAAACAAUUUAUCGAUGGCAUUGACCGGGGAAGUGGCUUGCUAGGUAUACUGUGAUGAAGAAAAUAUUCUUGCCUUAUUUUAUUUUUGAAUUGAUUUCUAAUUUAAAGAAUAGUAUUUUUUUUAUCAUUUGCCAAUAAGGCAGCCUUAAACUAUUGUCUACAUUGUAUCAUGAGAGAUGAUAAUAUACACUGGGGUUCAGUAUCAGUUAAUGUGGCCAUAAGUACCUUGAGAAAAUAAUUAACAUUAAAGUAGGAGAAAAGAAACUGGUAAGGGUAAUUGCCAAAACCCUCAUUAGCAAGAACACUAAAUAUUCAAUAUAAUGAAGGAAUAAUAAAGUAAAGAUAACACCGGUUCUUAUGGAAUGUUAUAUAUUUAAUUCCAGGAUGGGAGGACCAUUUUGACUGGCAACAUUACAAAAUCCUGUUUCCCACUCUUUCCCUUAGCAACUGGGAAUUUUCAUCAAGUCCCCGCAGAAGAUUGUGCUUCGGUUCAAUUAUGACAUAGAUCAUUUGGAAGUGUAGCUUAUUUUUAAUUUUGAUGAUUUUACUUACUCAAUAAGCACACUACAUAAGAAUAAUCCUAAUUAUUCUGUUUUUGAGGACACUAUUUUCAUUUAUUAACCACCUAUGCAAUGAAGAAUUGAAGAUCUAUCUAUACUAGGGUGACCAACUGUCCCAAUUCACCUAGGACUGAGAGGGCUCCCACGACAUGUGACUUUCAGUGCUAAAACUGGAAAAGACCUGGGAAAACUAACAAAUUGUUCAGCCUAAUCUAUAGCCAUGGGUCAGAAUAGCAAGGUAACAAUUAGGAUAAACAACUCUAUAAGGUAAAUGUAGCAGACAAAUCAGCUACUUCAAUGGGAAAAAAGUUUGAUUUAUGACCAAAUUGUCAAAGAAAGUCUGGUAAGAACUAAGGAACAAUGGAAAAUUAAUCUCUUGUGCCUAGAGAAUUGGGAACUUGGACUAAAUGCUAUUAUUGGCAAGAGUUUUACUUCAUUCUUCACAGUGUGAUUCUCAUCCAGCUCUUUCAAAAGGGUAACGAUAUUUAAUACAAUAACUGGAAGUAAAGUGGGUCAUAAUUAUGAUCAUAAUGAGGAUACAUCUUCUAAUGCUCCUCUUGAAUGUGUUUAAUACAUCCAUAAGUUAUUUGAAAGAGAGAUAAAUUCUGUCCUCUACAUCUCAUGGUACUCUGUGCAGUGUUGUGCAAACUCUUCAUCAGUUAAUCAUCAUUAAGUCCCCUUUUGUUGAAGACUUAUUUUAUGUCAGUCACUGUGCUAAGCACUUCAACUGUAUUACAUCAUUUAAUUCUCAUGACACUCUUUUGGGGGAUGUGGUGUGCCCCGAAACCAGCUUGCCUCCACUUAAGAGAACUGAUUGGAUACGUCUCUUCCCAUCUCCUUUUUCAGAGAUUCCAUGUUUUUAGCUUGAAAUGGGUCAUGGUCCAAGCAGUUACACUAUAGAAAUUGGAAAAAUACUGAAAAAUAGGGGACUGUUUGUUUGUUUUGAUUAGCUGCAUUAUUAGCACUACUGGAGAUACGUAUCAUUACCUCCAUUUUCAGAUGAGCUAUAUGAGUUCAAAAAAGCUAAGGAACGGCCCAAAUGCACUCAUCUAAUAAAUAAUACAGCUGUCUGCAUGAUUCUAAUGCAUACAUGUUUUAUAACCAGGGUACUUUGCCUUUCUCAUGAAAGUACUAAAAUUUAUUUUUUUCUGCAAUGUUGUAAAAUUGCUGUCUGUACUAUAUGACAGAGAAAUCACAUCACCAUUUAUGUCCCUCUGUACUUUUGGACAAUUUUAAAUUAGUUUCUCUGACUUCACCUGAAAAUAAUUACUAUUGUAUAUUCUACUACUUUGUACCAAAAUAAAUUUAAGUUAGCUUAAAAUGUUA
rnacentral:lncRNA from 1 species